rnacentral:rRNA from 1 species
GACAGAGGGUGCAAACGUUGUUCGGAUUUACUGGGCGUAAAGCGUGUGUAGGCGGCUUCGCAAGUUGGAUGUGAAAUCCCACGGCUCAACCGUGGACGUGCAUCCAAAACUGCGUCGCUAGAGUCUCGGAGAGGAAGGUGGAAUGCUUGGUGUAGAGGUGAAAUUCGUAGAUAUCGGGAGGAACAUCAGUGGCGAAGGCGGCUACCUGGCCCAAUACUGACACUCAGGUGCGACAGCGUGGGGAGCAAACAGG